GACGAACGCUGGCGGCGUGCCUAAUACAUGCAAGUAGGACGCAGUAGCGAACGGGUGAGUAACGCGUAGGUAACUACCUAUUAGAGGGGGAUAAAUAUUGGAAACGAUAGCUAAUACCGCAUACUAGUAGAUGGACCUGCGUUGUAUUAGCUAGUAGGUAGGGUAAUGGCCUACCUAGGAAACGAUACAUAGCCGAACUGAGGCGGUGAGCGGGCACACUGGGACUGAGGCACGGCCCAGACUCCUGCGGGAGGCAGCCAGAGGGAAACUUCGGCAAUGGGGGGAACCCUGACCGAGCAACGCCGCGUGAGUGAAGAAGGUUUUCGGAUCGUAAAGCUCUGUUGUGAAGGAAGCGGUACUUAACCAGAAAGGGACGGCUAACUACGUGCCAGCAGCCGCGGUAAUAC
rnacentral:rRNA from 1 species